rnacentral:rRNA from 1 species
UUAGAGGAAGGAGAAGUCGUAACAAGGUUUCCGUAGGUGAACCUGCGGAAGGAUCAUUGUCGAAUCCUACAAAGUAGACAACCCGCGAACAUGUCCACCCGGGGACGCCCGUCCCCCCCACCUGGCCGACUGGUACCCACCGGGUUCCAGCCGCGCCAGACAACCAAAAAAUCGGCGCGGGAAGCGCCAAGGAAUACCAAAAGAGGAAUGCCGUCUCGGGACUCGACCGUUCGCGGUACGGGUCGCGAGAGAAACGGCUCCAUCCGAAUCCAAAACGACUCUCGGCAACGGAUAUCUAGGCUCUCGCAUCGAUGAAGAACGUAGCAAACUGCGAUACUUGGUGUGAAUUGCAGAAUCCCGUGAACCAUCGAGUCUUUGAACGCAAGUUGCGCCCGAAGCCACUAGGCCAAGGGCACGUCUGCCUGGGCGUCACGCAUCGCGUCGCCCCCCCCAAGUCGCGCCUUGCCCCGAGCGAGCAGGACAAGGUGGGGGCGGAAAACGGCAUCCCGUGCCCCGUCGCGGCCUGCCUAGACCCAGGUCACUCGUCGCGGGCGUCACGACAAGUGGUGGUUGAAAACCCUCAACUCGAUUGCGAGUCGUGCACGCCCCGCGAACGACAAGACCCGCGCAGACCCUAGGGCGAUCCCUUCCCGCGGGAGGAGCGUUCGCCACGACCGCGACCCCAGGUCAGGCGGGGCUACCCGCUGAGUUU